rnacentral:rRNA from 1 species
UACAGAGGUCCCAAGCGUUGUUCGGAUUCAUUGGGCGUAAAGGGCGUGUAGGCGGCGCCGUAAGUCGGGUGUGAAAUCUCGGGGCUUAACUCCGAAACUGCAUUCGAUACUGCGGUGCUUGAGGACUGGAGAGGAGACUGGAAUUCAUGGUGUAGCAGUGAAAUGCGUAGAGAUCAUGAGGAAGACCAGUGGCGAAGGCGGGUCUCUGGACAGUUCCUGACACUGAGACACGAAGGCCAGGGGAGCAAACGGG